rnacentral:tRNA from 1 species
UGGAGCGGUAGUUCAGUUGGCUAGAACAUCGGCCUGUCACGCCGAAGAUCACGGGUUCAAAUCCCGUCCGCUUCGA